GUGAACGUUGCACAAACUUCAGUAACAACGCGAGGACGAGGUGGUGAGGUACUUUAUACAAUACAAUACUGGCUUAUACAUUUAGAGCCAGAAUUCCUCUUAAAAAACAAUACUCCAGGUAUACCUUGGAUAUAGGAAAUACGAGCAUCUAGGGAAUCAUUGACAGUAAGAGUUAACAUGAUGUUUCUGGUAACUGAUUAUGUUAUGCGAG